rnacentral:rRNA from 1 species
UCCCAGUUCGGAUUGCAGGCUGCAACCCGCCUGUAUGAAGUUGGAAUCGCUAGUAAUCGCGGAUCAGCAUGCCGCGGUGAAUACGUUCCCGGGCCUUGUACACACCGCCCGUCACACCAUGAGAGUUGGGAACACCCGAAGUCCGUAGCCUAACCGCAAGGGGGGCGCGGCCGAAGGUGGGUUCGAUAAUUGGGGUGAAGUCGUAACAAGGUACC